rnacentral:tRNA from 31 species
GCGGGUGUAGUUUAGUGGUAAAACCUCAGCCUUCCAAGCUGAUGAUGUGGGUUCGAUUCCCAUCACCCGCUCCA